CUUCGGUGAUGAUACGAUGACGAGUCGGAACGGGUCUCUGUCUCGUUUUGGUGGCUGGUUCAGAUUCACGUUCUGUGGUUCUGCUCCAGUUCAUCAGGACAGCGAGGCCCCUUCGCUUGAAGACAUUGAGGCAUUUGUCUGAGAAGG
ensembl:snoRNA SNORD15 Small nucleolar RNA SNORD15